rnacentral:rRNA from 1 species
AUGCAUGUUGUGAAAUUUGGCUACAGAUGGAACAUAGGGGAUGGGAGCAGAACCAGGUUCUGGGAAGAUACUUGGUUUGGCACAUCCCCCCUAGCAGUCCAAUUUUGGCCUAUUUACUCUGUCUGCAAUGAGCUUAACAAAAGUGUCAAUGAAGUUUGGGACGGUCAAUGCCUAAAACUCACUUUUAGAAGGAACUUUAGUGAUAGUCUCAUGGAAUAA